CUGCAACCUUGGAAAGCUAAACCGCAGAUAAAUGAAGACUACUAUACUUCUUAAGGCAGCAGAUAAGAGCAGAAAUAAUUCCUCUUCAGACCUAAACUACAAAAAUUAGAAAGGAUAUUCUCAUACCAGAUAGAAGUCUUGUUUUCUAGGAACAAAUGCAGAACACCACAAAUGGUGAAACUGUGUUUUGUCUGUCUGACACAGACUGGCAGAGAAAGCUAGCGGUCUGAAUUCCUGGUUCACUGCUGUAAAGGCUUUGCGGCCUGCUGGCUGCCCCGCCUGGCCAGCUCCAGGCCCGCAGGCCCCAUGCAGCGGGGCAUGCAGCACCAGAUGGAGAGAGGGAAGGCCGACCCAGCGAGAAUCCGCUCGAAGAGAAGCAAACUGCCCAGGGAGGGGAAAGAUGGUGCCGGACCAGUUGGACAAAGGCCCAGCUCUGAGCAACUCCCCCUAUUCGGGGGGUGAAUAAAAUCACAAAUGAGAACA